rnacentral:lncRNA from 10 species
UGUGGACCCAGGUUUGAGGAAGCCUGCGCUGCAUGACCAUCGAGGUCACUCCACCUCUAAAACUCAGAUUUGAGGCAUUGUUCUAGAUGCUGGAAAUAUAACAGUGAGCAAAAUAUAAAAAUCCUUGUUCUCAUGGAACUGACCUUCUGUUGGGAAGAAUAAUACUGCCUACCUCACAAGGUGGUGUAAUCCAUGGAAAAGAAAGCAUGUUUACACUAUGGAGUAAAAAGAUAAGUGGUUAUGACUGUUAUUAUUUUACACCUCCAACAAUUGUGUGGUCAGAAGACACUAAACUAUCCCCUGUACCUCCUCAUAGCAACCCCCAUGGCCUUGCUUUGGACCUUAUAUGACUGAUUCCUUUGAGCUAAAGCAUUUUAUCUAAGAACACUAACACAAUUUAUUAUAAUUCCUGGUUUACAAAGUGACCCAGUCACCUAACAGGGCCCUGAAGGAACAAGGUACUGCUCAAGUUUUGUACUGAUGUUGUAAAAAGGGUCAGAAAAGGCAAGAACAUGGAAAUUACCAAUGAGGACCAAGGUGAGAAGUGAGGCAACACCAGUGUCCUGUGCUGGGAACUGAUUGGAGAGCAGAAAAGAAGACAGGCAUCUUUAUCCUAAAAACUAAAAACCUCCACUGGAGUCUCCAGUCAGCUUGCAAGCUUGACAGAGGUGGGAAACAAGACAGAAUCAGAAAUAUUGCUCCAUUUCCAGCACCAACCACAGUGCCUAGCCCAGAGCAAUAUUUGAGGCAUUUAAUAGCCUCUACUCCAGAUAUUAUAGUUCAGAUUUAGCAGAAAUCUUCAUGGGUUGUUUAUGUGGGGAGAUCUUCAUGGAGAAGGUGGGGCUGACCUAGGCUUCAAGGGUGGUGGGAAUUGGGAGGAUGAAGCUUCCCUAGGAGGGACUGAUGAAAAAUCUUUGAGCAGGUAGGUCAGGGAGUGGCAUCAGUGGUGCAGUGGAGUGUAUGUGCAGUCCUUAAGUCUUGGAGAUUUGGUGAGGAGGUGGGGCAGGGACAGGCUGAAUGUCAUGAAUAGCAGAAGCAUCAUGGGCAGAGUCUCUGAGAGCAGGUUUGGGACCAGUGGAAGUAGAGCCAAUUAGGGGGAGUAUUGUGACACAAAAUUUUUAUUAUUAUGCAACAUUGCUGGCCUGGGCUCACUCUUGUCAGUCUUGGUGAAAUUUCCUGAAUCAGAGUGUUCUGCCUCCCACAUACAGCCUGAAGUCUGGAGGGACUUCCUCAUUUUGCAAAGGGAUAAUAAACUCUUUACAGAGUUUGGCUUUAAACUCUUAGCUUGGGUGUAUUUUCUUUUUUCGGUUCAAUUAGCUAAAUCUACCUAGUAUAAGAGCAAGAAAUUAUAGUAAACUAUUGUAGUAAACUCAGGAUCAUUCAAACAAGGGCUUGGCAUGAGAUUCUGGGAACUUGCUUGGAGCAACAGGAAGAGACAGGGCUUGCAUUCGGAUAUGUAAGCAUAGACUUGGCAGGAAUAUCUGAAUUUAUCAGGGCUCCACAAUUUCAGCAGCACCUCAGUUUUCCUAAGCAGAUAAGAUUGGGAGGGCCCAAGUAAAAAUACAGAUUGGAGCAGGAGCUUCAAUGGGUAUUGAAUCAACUCCACCUUUUACUUCCCAACAGCAGGUGUUGGGUGGGGCUAACCAGGGGUGAGCCUUGAUUGACCCAAGACAAUUGGUUUCAUCUCCUCUUCUUAGCCACAUAGAUUAGCUCAUGAGUGAGCAGGUGAUUCAAACAAAGUAAAGCCCAGGACUUUGUUUCAGUGGUUGGGGGAUAGCGUGGGUGUGAGUAUUAGUCUGGACACUGCUGCAGUUAUUUUACUCUAAUGACAGGCGCCAUCCAAAGGUGAGGCCGCUGCUAGAAGAGGGCAGAUUCAAAAGACUUGAGAAAAAAUGGAGUCAGAACCUGAUCAAACCACAGAAACCUGCAACCUAGGGAAAAGAUGAUAGUCUGACUGCUGCUUGCACAAAUAGCAGGGAGGCCUUUCUUUAGUACAAUGGACUGACAAUGAGCAUAGUUUUUGUAAGGCUGGAAUAACAAGUUACGAAAUACCACCAUCAUCACAGCUGAGAAGGAUGUGAGAGCCGAUUCUGCACUGCAAUCACCAGCUCACAGCACUUAGUUGAAUGUCUCCUCUCCUCCAAAACCAGAGCCAAGGCCAUCAGCAGAACCCUCAAAGUCAUCUGAGAUGAGAUACUGCAGGAUUAAAUAUGAACUUUUCCUCAACGGUUUGAUGGAUCAAAGUUAUAGUGUCUUCAGCAAUUUUUAUCCAAUUAUAGUUUGAAGAGUUAAGCUAUAACUUAAACUUAUAUUUAAGCAAAACCAGCAUAAGUGAAAAAAAGUACCACUUCAAAACAGAUUCAAAAACAAGAAAUAAAACAAAAGCUUAAGAACUUUUGCUAAAAAUUAUCUCCCUUUCUGCAACCACUUGGAAGAAAAGGGGGUAAAACAUACGAUAAAAUGUUAAUUACUUGGAACACAUUUAACCAGACUUUUCAAUCAUUUGGAUCAUUUUUUGCCUUUUGGUUAUUUUUGGACAAAUAUUUCUGCAAUUUGAAACAUAAUUUAACUCUUCUAGAACCAUGCUUCUUUGCAAUAGCAUCAAUAGUUUAGCACAAAAUUUUAAGAAGUGUAAUGCUAUGAAGAAUAGCAUAGUAAGAAAUUUUUUUUUCUGCAAACAUUCUUGGUUGUUAAAGAAAAUUGUUUUAAAACACAAGCUUGGGAGGCCGAGGCGGGCGGAUCACGAGGUCAGGAGAUCGAGACCAUCCUGGCUAACACAGUGAAACCCCGUCUCUACUAAAAAUACAAAAAAAUUUGCCAGGCGUGGUGUCGGGCAACUGUAGUCCCAGCUACUCAGGAGGCUGAGGCAGGAGAAUGGCGUGAACCCAGGAGGUGGAGCUUGCAGUGAGCCGAGAUCGUGCCACUGCACUCCAGCCUGGGCAACAGAGUGAGACCCCGACUGAAAAAAACAAAAAACAAAAAAACACAAGCUUUACCUUUGUAAACUAAGAGAUAUAUAUAAAAAAGGAAAAUUUAUCAUGCAUAAAAAACCUUGGCAUAUAUAUCUGGCUACAUAUUUUUACAUAUGCAUAUUUGUAUUUUACAUAUACAUAUUUUUAUUGUGUUCCAGGAUUGAAGAGUAAUCAUAAACCCUGUGCAAAACAGAUGAGGUGACCUUAGCUUCAACCCUCCAGUUCUCUUGCAUGAUAUCUAAUUGCAAAAAUUUAUAGCAGGGUUUAAGAGCAGAUAUGGCUUAUUUAUCCAGAAACAUCUGAUUGUAUAUAAAGUCAUGAAGUAACAUUCUGUAAGCACCUGGGCACUCAGCUGGAGUAGGGGUAUGCAAGAAUCUUCUUCACCAUAUUUUCCUUAACUUGGUUUUC